rnacentral:rRNA from 1 species
AACGCGAAGAACCUUACCCAGGCUUGAACAGCGAGUGACCACCUACGAAAGUAGGCUUCCGCAAGGGACCGCAGUAUAGGUGCUGCAUGGCUGUCGUCAGCUCGUGUCGUGAGAUGUUGGGUUAAGUCCCGCAACGAGCGCAACCCUUGUCCUGUGUUGCCAUACCGAAAGGUGGAACUCGCAGGAGACCGCCAGGGAUAACCUGGAGGAAGGUGGGGAUGACGUCAAGUCCUCAUGGCCUUUAUGUCCAGGGCUACACACGUGCUACAAUGGACGGUACAAAGGGCUGCCAACCCGCGAGGGGGAGCCAAUCCCAAAAAACCGUUCUCAGUUCGGAUUGCAGGCUGCAACUCGCCUGCAUGAAGCUGGAAUCGCUAGUAAUGGCGGAUCAGAACGCCGCCGUGAAUACGUUCCCGGGCCUUGUACACACCGGCUAC